UACGGAGGGUGCAAGCGUUAUCCGGAUUCACUGGGUUUAAAGGGUGCGUAGGCGGGUAUGUAAGUCAGCGGUGAAAUCCCCGAGCUUAACUUGGGAACUGCCGUUGAUACUAUAUAUCUUGAAUGUCGUGGAGGUUAGCGGAAUAUGUCAUGUAGCGGUGAAAUGCUUAGAUAUGACAUAGAACACCUAUUGCGAAGGCAGCUAACUACGCGAAUAUUGACGCUGAGGCACGAAAGCCAGGGGAGCGAACGGG
rnacentral:rRNA from 1 species